rnacentral:rRNA from 1 species
AACGAACGCUGGCGGCGUGGAUAAGACAUGCAAGUCGAACGGGACUUUCUUUGGUAGCAAUACCGAAGAAAGUCUAGUGGCGAACGGGUGCGUAACACGUGGGCAAUCUGCCUUAAAGUGGGGGAUAGCUCGGCGAAAGCCGGAUUAAUACCGCAUGUGAUUACCGGAGACAUCUUCGGAACAUCAAAGUCGGGGCAACCUGACGCUUUUUGAGGAGCCCGCGGCCUAUCAGCUAGUUGGUGAGGUAACGGCUCACCAAGGCUUUGACGGGUAGCUGGUCUGAGAGGACGACCAGUCACACUGGAACUGAGACACGGUCCAGACACCUACGGGUGGCAGCAGUCGAGAAUUUUUCUCAAUGGGGGAAACCCUGAAGGAGCGACGCCGCGUGGAGGAUGAAGGUCUUCGGGUUGUAAACUCCUGUCAUUUGGGAACAAUGCUUACGUAUUAACUGUACGUGAGUUGAUAGUACCAGAAGAGGAAGAGACGGCUAACUCUGUGCCAGCCGCCGCAGUAACAC